UUCAGCUAAAGGCAAAUUGGUCGAAAGGCUAAGACGCAAAGCUCCAGGUCUACGGGGAUACCUAUGAUGGCUGAGCUACCUGA
rnacentral:ncRNA from 1 species